rnacentral:tRNA from 1 species
CCAUAGCUCAACUGGCAGAGCAACUGACUCUUAAUCAGUAGGUUCGGGGUUCGAUUCCCUGUGGG